UUGUCUUCUAAAUAAAGACUAGUAUGAACGGCUAAAUGAGGACAAAACUGUCUCUUAUGACUAAUCAGUGAAACUGAUCUACCAGUACAAAAGCUGGUAUUACUACAUAAGACGAGAAGACCCUGUGGAGCUUAAAACAAACCACUACCCCAUAAGACCCCUAGUGUACUGUUUUAAGUUGGGGCGACUUCGGAACAAAACAAAACUUCCGAGCAUAGAUCCACCAGAUCAAACCAAGGCCUACAAGCCAAAAUAAAAACUGACCCGGCCCAAGCCGAUCAACGAACCAAGUUACCCCAGGGAUAACAGCGCUAUCUUCUUCAAGAGUCCAUAUCGACAAGAAGGUUUACGACCUCGAUGUUGGAUCAGGACACCCAAGUGGUGCAGCCGCUACUAAAGGUUCGUUUGUUCAACGAUU
rnacentral:rRNA from 1 species